rnacentral:rRNA from 1 species
AUUGAACGCUGGCGGCAGGCCUAACACAUGCAAGUCGAGCGGGGGUAGCAAUACCCUAGCGGCGAACGGGUGAGGAAUGCUUGGGAAUCUGCCUGGUAGUGGGGGGAUAACGUUCCGAAAGGAACGCUAAUACCGCAUACGUCCUACGGGAGAAAGGGGGGGAUCUUCGGACCUCUCGCUAUCAGAUGAGCCCAAGCGGGAUUAGCUAGUUGGUGAGGUAAAGGCUCACCAAGGCGACGAUCAGUAGCUGGUUUGAGAGAACGACCAGCCACACUGGAACUGAGACACGGUCCAGACUCCUACGGGAGGCAGCAGUGGGGAAUCUUGGACAAUGGGGGAAACCCUGAUCCAGCCAUGCCGCGUGAGUGAUGAAGGCCUUCGGGUUGUAAAACUCUUUCGCGCACGACGAUAAUGACGGUAGUGCGAGAAGAAGCUCCGGCUAACUUCGUGCCAGCAGCCGCGGU